rnacentral:misc_RNA from 1 species
GAUGAAGAACGCAGCGAAAUGCGAUAAGUAAUGUGAAUUGCAGAAUUCAGUGAAUCAUCGAAUCUUUGAACGCACAUUGCGCCCGCCAGUAUUCUGGCGGGCAUGCCUGUCUGAGCGUCAUUUCAACCCUCAUGCCCCUAGGGCGUGGUGUUGGGGAUCGGCCAAAGCCCGCGAGGGACGGCCGGCCCCUAAAUCUAGUGGCGGACCCGUCGUGGCCUCCUCUGCGAAGUAGUAAUAUUCCGCAUCGGAGAGCGAUGAGCCCCUGCCGUUAAACCCCCAACUUUCCAAGGUUGACCUCAGAUCAGGUAGGAAUACCCGCUGAACUUAAGCAUAUCAAUAAGCGGAGGA